AGGGUUCGAUCAUGGCUCAGAACGAACGCUGGCGGCAGGCCUAAUACAUGCAAGUCGAGCGCAUCCUUCGGGAUGAGCGGCGGACGGGUGAGUAACGCGUGGGAAUAUGCCCUUCUCUAAGGAAUAGCCUCUGGAAACGGAGAGUAAUACCUUAUACGCCCUUCGGGGGAAAGAUUUAUCGGAGAAGGAUUAGCCCGCGUUAGGUUAGGUAGUUGGUGGGGUAACGGCCUACCAAGCCUACGAUCUAUAGCUGGUUUGAGAGGAUGAUCAGCCACACUGGGACUGAGACACGGCCCAGACUCCUACGGGAGGCAGCAGUAGGGAAUCUUAGACAAUGGGGGAAACCCUGAUCUAGCCAUGCCGCGUGUGUGAAGAAGGCCCUAGGGUCGUAAAGCACUUUCGCCAGAGAUGAUAAUGACAGUAUCUGGUAAAGAAGCCCCGGCUAACUCCGUGCCAGCCGCCGCGGUA
rnacentral:rRNA from 1 species